rnacentral:rRNA from 1 species
GACGAACGCUGGCGGCGUGCUUAACACCUGCAUGUAGAGCGGAGCGGCGAACGGGUGAGUAACGCGUGAGUCACUGCCCCCCUCUCUGGGAUAACAGUUGGAAACGGCUGCUAAUACCGGCUAGUGGGGGGUGACUCGCGUCCUACCAGCGUGUGGGUGGGGUAGUGGCCUACCAAGGCGACGACGGGUAGCCGGCCUGAGAGGGCGACCGGCCACAUUGGGCGGAGAGACGGCCCAAAAUCCGACGGGAGGCAGCAGUGGGGAAUAUUGCACAAUGGGGGAAACCCUGAUGCAGCAACGCCGCGUGCGGGAUGACGGCCGUCGGGUUGUAAACCGCUUUCAGCCAUGACGCGGUAGUGGCAGAAGAAGCACCGGCUAACUACGUGCCAGCAGCCGCGGUAAUAC